AUGGCGGCCGGCGAGCCGACGCGCGCGGCGGUGGUGGUGGCGGCGCGGGCCGCCGCCAGGGAGGUGCCCCGGGCGGCGGCCGCGUGGGCGCUGGCGCACGUCGCGCGGCCCGGCGACGCCGUGCUCAUCCUCGUCCUCAUGCCGCCGCCGCCGCCCGCCGCCGCCUCCGGUAGAAGGCCGUGGAGCUUCCCCUUCUUCGCGGGGGCCUGCGCCAGCGCCCACGCCGCGGCGCCGGCGCAGCGCUCCGACGUCUCCGACCUCUGCGCGCAGAUGACGCUCACCCUCCGCGACCUCUACGACCCCACCAAGGUGAACCUGAGGGUGAGGAUCGUCGCCGGCGCGGGCCCCGGCGCCGUGGCCGCCGAGGCGAAGCGGGCGCUGGCGAGCUGGGUCGUGCUCGACAGGGAUCUCAAGGUUGAGGAGACGCGCUGCAUGGAGGAGCUCCAGUGCAACAUCGUCGCCGUCAGGCGCUCCCGGCCCAAGGUGCUCCGGCUCAACCUCGCCUGCUCCACGGAGGAGACACGCCCGGAGCCGGCAGCUCCUCCGCCCCAGCCCGAGCCCAGUGCUUCAGGUGAUGUGGAGCACGAGAUGGUCUCGGUCCGGGAACCCGCCGUGAAGACGCCGAGCUGCAUCCCGGACUCAGAGACGCCGUCCGGCAGCACCGACGACGCCGGAGCGUCCUCCUCCGUGUCGACCUCGGACCCCGGCGCAGCUUCUCCACUGUCUGCUUCCUCUGAAGCCGUCAUCUGCAUCUCUCUGAAGAAGAAGGAAGAAGCAGAGGAUGUGAGAGCGUCCUCCGUGCCAAGUUCUUCAGAAGAACCGGGCAUUUCUCCAUUGUGUGCUUUAGAAGAAUCAGGCAUCUCUCUGAUGAAGAAGGAAGAAGAAGAAUCCGAGGAAACAUCCUCUGUGUCAAACUCAACAAACCCAGGCAAUUCUCCAUUGCGUGCUUCAGAAACAGACAGCAGCUCUCUGAAGAAAGAAGAAACCAGGAAUGCCGAUGCAACCUCUGUGUCAAGCUCAACAGACCCUGCAACCUCUCCAUUGUUCGCUUCAGAAACAGACAGCAGCUCGCCGGAGACGGAGGCGUUCGACGAUUCCACCGGAGCAUCCUCCGCCGCAAGCUCAGGCCAUGGCACCACUACAGUUUGUGUUUCAGAAACAGAUAGUAGCCCUCUCAAGAGAGAAGCAGCCAAUGUACUAUCUGGCCCUGACAGUGAAGCUUCAGCUCCAACUCCUCAGGCAGCAUCAGCAGCAGCCUCGCCGUCACUCCAGCCAUGGAUGGCCGACAUCCUGCAGCGACCCGCCGCAUCCCCAAGACCAACACCAACCCGCCGAAGAACCCCGACGGCGGACGCGCUGCUGGAGAAGAUCGCCAAGCUGGACCUACUGACCGAGAUCAGCGCCGUGAGGAGCAGGUCCGACCUCAACUUCAGAGGCAACGUCAGGGACGUCGUGUCCCUCUCCCGGACCCCUGCGCCGGGGCCGCCGCCGCUCUGCUCGGUGUGCCAGCACAAGACGCCGGUGUUCGGGAAGCCGCCGCGGUGGUUCAGCUACGCCGAGCUGGAGCACGCCACCGGCGGCUUCUCCAGGGCCAACUUCCUGGCCGAGGGUGGGUUCGGGUCGGUGCACCGAGGGGUGCUGCCUGACGGCCAGGCCAUCGCCGUCAAGCAGCACAGGCUCGCCAGCAGCUCGCAGGGCGACGUCGAGUUCUGCUCGGAGGUGGAGGUGCUCAGCUGCGCGCAGCACCGGAACGUCGUCAUGCUCAUCGGGUUCUGCGUCGAGGGCAAGAGGAGGCUGCUGGUCUACGAGUACAUCUGCAACAGAUCACUGGACACUCAUCUCUAUGGCCGUCACAAGGAGACCUUGGGGUGGGCUGCCCGGCAGAAGAUCGCGGUCGGCGCCGCCAGGGGGCUGCGGUACCUCCAUGAGGAAUGCAGGGUCGGCUGCAUUAUCCACCGCGACAUGAGACCGAACAACAUCCUCGUCACGCAUGAUUUCGAGCCACUGGUCGGCGAUUUCGGCCUGGCUAGAUGGCAACCUGAUGGGGACAUGGGUGUCGAUACAAGAGUCAUUGGCACAUUUGGUUAUCUAGCCCCUGAAUAUGCGCAGAGCGGGCAAAUUACGGAGAAGGCCGAUGUCUACUCGUUUGGAGUUGUUCUUGUGGAGCUUGUCACUGGACGCAAGGCCGUCGAUAUUAACAGGCCCAAGGGCCAGCAAUUCCUGACUGAAUGGGCCCGGCCAUUGCUGGAAGAGCACGCGAUCGACGAGCUCAUCGACCCGCGCCUCGAGGACCGCUUCUGUGAGAACGAGGUCUACUGCAUGCUGCACGCGGCGAACCUCUGCAUACGGCGCGACCCGCAUUCGAGGCCGCGAAUGUCCCAUGUUCUGCGCAUCCUGGAGGGCGACAUGGUGGUGGAGUCCGGCGGCUGCAUCUCCGCGCCGAGCAGCGAUGCCGGGAGCAUGAGCCGCCGCAUGCUGAGCGACCGGCUGCACUACCAGGAGCAGGGCAGCCCGGUUCGGUCCGAUUCGCAACGUGUCGGCGGGGUGAACCGCUCCCUUGAGACCACCCUGAGGAGCGCCUGGGAUGCUCAUGUGCAGGGCCUGUCUAACAGGUUCUGGUACCCUUCAGCAGCUGCCGCAGACUGCAGCCAGCACCAAAGAUGA
rnacentral:rRNA from 1 species